ensembl:lncRNA
CAUCACUACACGCCGCUUUGCUCGCUAAAACAGCGGUGUCGGCACAUAAGGACGCUGUCAUAGCCUGUCAACGUUGAUUGGCUGCAUAUAUACGAAUGUGGGAUAAGGCGGCAUCGUUCUGAUCCCGUACAGGAGCAGCCAGUCACUGUCUGACUAACACUGAAGAACAGAAUUGUUAACGCAUUUAUUUUAAUUUCAAUUCAGGUAGAUUUUUUUCUGUGUGCAGAGGCCGUGCAGCAGUGCAGAAUUGUGCACGCGCGCAGCUUGGGGGGAACAUUGGUCCCCGCACUGCUUCAGGAAUGCUGAGCUCCAGCUCUGGGGAGGCCCAUCCAUGACUGAUAGUGCUCCACUGUGUGUUGACAUGCUUUCACUGCGCUGGCAGUGUGUAUGGGAUCAUCGUCAGGCUGAAAAAUGAGGCUGCCAAUCAGAAUCUUUCAGAUGUUACUGCAUGUGGAUCAAAAUUUGAUUUUCUUCACUAAUCAGCAGUUUUAACUCCAACACACAUCCAGCUAAAUGAAACCAGUCCAAAGACUCUGGCACUGCAAACGUCUCUGAAAGUGUUUCCACUGAUGAUUCCCAGCAGUGGCUGUAAGCUGACAGUAUUUCGUCUGCCCCUCCUCUGUUAGGUCUUGAGGCUGAGAUAAAACAGGAGCGUUUCAAUCAUCUGCAUCUUGAUAUUUUGAAACCAGACUCGUCACUCAUCACUUUUGAUCCUAAAUUCUCAGUGAGAGAGAGCGAGGAACAAAAGCCAGCUCCUCCAGAUCUCUGAGCUCAUCAACCCGACAGGCUGGACGAGCUCAGAGAUCAGCUGAGCAGCAGGCUCACCUCCUGACCUCUUACAGCCAGAGGACAUCUUAAUGCAGGUUUGCCAUAUUUGGAGGGACUUUCAUUUUUUGUGUCGUCUGUGGUUACACUUUUAGUUUUUCAUAUGUUGCCUCUAAACAACCACCUGAUGGUGCUGUUGUCUCUGUCAGCUCCACCUAAACUUUGAAGCAAAAACAGGAAACAGGAAAGAAUAAACAAACAUCAAGAAUGGGCAAAAGUACUUUUAAUAAUCCAGAAUUUACAAAACAAAGAUCAGAAAGACUUUCGCCCUAUGACAGCUGGGAUAGGCUCCAGCGCCCCCCGCGACCCUGAAAAAGGAUAAGCGGAAGCGAAUGGAUGGAUGGAUGAAGAUCAGAAAGAAUCAACAACAUGUUUCACGCUUUUAUUUCAUGGUUAACUUUUAAAAUCACAACUGAACACUGAAGCCAGCAGGAACGUUUUAUUGCAGCUUGUCGUCUAAUUUUCUUUCUUCAUUUGAAACCAGCAGUGAGAACCAGGUUAUACUGAGGUUAACUUCAUUAACAUUCACUCACAUAAUUAAUUUGUUUGCUUCAGAAAAGCUGGACACGAAAAGCAGACGGAAAAGAAACUCCUGAAGGCACUUUGGUGUGAAGACGUUUGCUUUUCACAAGCAGCUCAAACCUCAAAACUCAACAACAAGAGAAGAAAGCAGGACUUCCUGCAGGGUCUUAUCUCAUCUCUUCAGAGCCCCUCAUCCUCACAGAUCAGCUGUAAGAACACAAAGAAAACACAAGUUUGAGAUCACAACUACAGGAAAACUUGUAAAAAUGACUCAAACCGUCUGAAAAUCUAAACCCGGUGACGCUAACACGCACCAGAGUUAGCGCAGUUUAACGUGACGUUGUUCUGGAGUCACCUCAGCUCUGAGAGAUGCUAACGCCAACACUGACUCUACUCGAAUAUUCAGGUUUAUAGAUGCUGAAGUUUUUUGGGCAGAGAAGUAAACGGUGCUGCACCGAAAACCUCCUCCAGGUUGCUUUGGUGCCUCGUAGUUUGCAUAGAAGUCGCCGACUUGCAGCGAGUCGUCAACGACUCACUGAGCUGUUGUGGCAGAGCUCGCCUUCAGAGUAAAAGCUGCAUGAAAUGUGUUGGCUACAGCGAUAAGGCACAACUUUUACUUUGAAAGCAAAUGUUCUGUUUCCUGUGGUUGGUGUUUGCAGUCUGAUCCAGUGCGAACAGUGUUGCCAAUUUAGCGACUCUGUCGCUAUAUUUAGCGAGUUUUCAGACGUGAAAGCGCGUAUGGCUUUUACUCUCAACAAGCAGCGGGUGCUGUAACGCAGUCAGUUCUUUUACUCUUAUGCUGUUUUGUGGAUCACAAGGUUUAAAACUACUUAUAAACACAAACACAAAGUAACUCCACCAGAGCGCCUAUUUCGGGUCACUUUUGCCGGUCCAAGCCCGGGUAAAGGAGCAGGGUUGGAAUUGUGACAUUAAAAAAACAAUAAUUGCUAAAAGAAAUUUAAUUUGUAGUUCUAAAUAAACUCUAAAUGCAUUUAGGACGUUUUUACUCCCUUUAUGUCUCUUCCACGAUGUUAUUUCUCUCUCCAACAACAUAGGUGCAAUUAGAUUAGCAUGACCAAUUAUGCAAAUUAGGCGAUGACGUCAUUUAGCGACUUUUAGGACAACCAAUAGCGAUUUUCCUUACUGAGGAGUUGGCAACACUGAGUGCGAACCACAGGACACUGCAGAGGUCUGCUACCAGAACAUAAAACACACACAGGUUUUAGGUGCAGCACUUUGGGGCUGAUGUAACCUAGGCAACAGUCACCCUCCAGUCGGAGACAACACGCGUUUUCUUGACUGCAGGUUGCUGAGCGGUCACCGGGAAGCCUGAGCUAACAGUUCAGUGGAAAGUCCUUCACGAGUGACUCCAGCUGAUCGAGGCGACCAGAGUCAGAGUUCAGUUAGGUUAACUAGUUCGACUCAUGGACACGUUGCCUAACAUGGUUAAUGACGGCUCUCCUGACAGGUGAAGCAAAGGGCGGCACUCACCGUUAGCUGAGCCGUAGCAGGCAGCAUGCAGGGUUAGCAGGCGAGCAGCACAGCUGGACAGAAGCUGACAGAUGUGACGAGACCAGAGCGAAGACAGAAAUAAACGAGCAGAGGCGAGCGCUCGAUGAGCAGCCGGUCCACAGCGACGCUUCACCUGCACAGGUGAGACAGCAGCUGCUGCCUCAGGCUACAGCCACAAAGCAAAGUUCUCAGAAGUGUUUCUCCAGCUACAGAACACACCUCCACCCGGGAAUUAUUUAUUCACCUGGAUCAGAAUACAGAAAAUUCAACAGGAAAAAAUGUUGAUGACAGUCGUCCAGUUCCCACAGGUCAAAAUAAAGAUGGCGAGUCCACAGUGCUGCACAUUCACCACGACUGAAGCAAUGAAACGACCCGCGCUUCAUCCCCAUAAAUCCCCACGGGGUCGCGACAGGAAGGACGUGGAACAAGUAAAGCUUGUAUUGUGUUUCAACAGCACCUGAACAUGCGUCACUAACACGUUUAGAAACGCUCUCUGCUUCAGCAGCCCCUCGUCACGGUCGGCGUGGAAUAAAAUACUCCAUAUGACAGGGGUGGGGAACUCCACAGUGUCCUGGUCCAGGCUGACGUUGACUGUGUGACAGCUGAUUAUACUCAUAUGAGGUAUUAUUAUGGUUCUUUUGAAUGUGUGGUGUGUUUGACCAGAGGAGGGCGCUGGUGAGCUCCACGCUGCGCGCAGUGGAAAAGUCCAAAAAAGAAACUGAGCUCAGACGCAGGCGGAGGACUCUCCAUCAAACUGCUCGUUUUCUCCAUAACAGCAACCGUUAAUUAUGGGCCACGGUUUCCUGUGCUUUGGAUAAAGCGCUGAACUGUUUGGCUUAAAUGAUUCAACCUCUAUUUUUAUGGAUGUGUUUAAGCGCCUCCAGGACCCCGUCUGAAUCAUUGUAACCCUGCUCUGACGCUGCACAGUUUCUGCAGGAGGCUGAUAUGAAGUCUGGCAGCCCGCUGCUAGAAUCACAGCAGCAGUGAUAUCAAAGUCCACACCCAGAAAUUAAACUGCUCCGGACGAGGCAGCAGCUGUGACGUCUGCUCUCAGGCCUUUUCUCAAAGUUUGCAGCUCCACUCGUCUGUGAGGCAGACGAACAGUAAAAUCGAGUUACUGUGGCCUCUGCAACCAAGUGUUCCAGUAGUUUAUGCAGGUCAGGAAAUGUGUGUGUGAAAGCUGGAGACUGAAUCAGAGAUGACCGGAUACUCGCAGGACAAAGAGACGGGCUGGCAGGAAACAUGAACCAGGAAUAAAAACCAAAUCCAAUGAUUCUCAGUCACACCUCUGCCUCCAUAAACAGGCAGUAGCCCUGAAGUAACGGAGAUAAUGAAAGCUGUGUGUCUGAGGUCAGCGGCUGGACUGAAGAGGAGCAUCUCACCUGUCUGAGGUAAAGAAGGCAGCGCACAGCAGGACCGAAUCACAUGAAGGGGAGUCUGAGGACGCGUCCACGCUGUGACUGCAGCACCAAGCCUGAUCUUCUUCACAUGACUCAAAGAGUUCCCAUCACACGUCUGUGAAAAUGCUCCCAGAGCUCGUCCAACCCUGGAGCCUGGGAAACUCACGUCAGCCCCAGCGUGGUCACGUGACCCCGGCGCUCUUUUCUUUUAGAUUAAAAGCUCGUGAAGCCUCACAACACUGAGUGCGCUCCUGCUGCAGCUGGAGGUGGAGCGUCUCCUUUAUCCCCACAGAGAACAUGUGACCCACAUCAGCCGCCUUUUGUCCCUGCUGGGUCACACUCAGUUGGUACACUGCUGGGAGGUUAAAGGGGCGGGGCUGAGCUUCCUGUUAGCAGACGGUGAAGGACAAUAAUGAUAAGAGGAUAAGCAGCCGCUGUCUGGAGCGGCGGGCUGGUGUAAACACAGACCAUGUGACCAACAGCAGAGGAAUGAGCGUGAAACAGGGAGGAGCAUCAGCCGCAGGGAUAGACCAAUCAAUAAUCAGUCAUCAGCACCUCAUGCAGAAUAUCUCACUGCAGAGACAGGAAACGAUUAAAAGUUGGGACACGCCCACUCGUGGGCAGAAAACACAAAAACAUGUUCUCAGUGUCAGCAGGGACCCAACCAGCAGCUGGACCCGAACGUCCACGGGAGACACAAACACAGACCCUCCCCACGGAGGAGACUCCACGGUCACAGUGAAAGAAGUACCACAAUGGCGCUACACGCACGGCUUUAAUAUCCCUUUAGUAACAUUCUGUUUUCUUUUAAUGUUGCAGCUGAAGCGAAUCACACGACUGCUUCUGUAAACGCUGAUUCUCAGAGUUUAUUUUUAUCGUCAUUUUGCAGAUUGACUCAAAUAAUCAAAUCAUUGCAGUUAUUACAGAUGCUCUUUAAUUAUGUUCCUCCAGCACAUUUAAUUGCUUUGAUCAACAUGUUUGUUCUCCUGAAGAAACUUCAGAUGAGAGACGUCAAACCUGCAGCUGCUGUCGGCUCUGCAGGACAGACGUUAAUCAGUUUAUAGCUUCUUAUUGGACGCUUUGAUCUAACUGGCUGCAUUUGCUCUGUUUCUCACUGUGAAUGUCGGCGUCAGUCUAUCUGUGCUGCAGCGUUAGGGGUGAUUAAGGACGGGCAGGGCUGAGGGUUCAGGGAGGGGAUAUUCUCCUUACCAGCUCCUUCCUACCACACUGAGUCUGCUGAGGCUGAUUACAGAGAGGUAAAAUCAGACGUGAGCUCUAUCCUGGAAAGAUAAAGGUGGAGGCUGUCAGACACGUCACUCAUACAAUCCAGAAAAACGUGCAAAUUCUCCAGAAAAAAAAGGUUGGUGCAUGCUGGGAUAUUCCAGGAGGGGCGGAUAUAAAAAGAAGCUUAAAUGAAAAGUUUGAUGAUCACGAUUCUGUGUGUAACUGAACACGGCUAUCAGACACAUGCACGCGGCAUCAUAACCAAAUUAUAAGUGAGAGCAGCACAUCACAGGUGUCACAUGAUGGUGAUCCUCCCAGUAUGCACAACAUGUAUUCUGAUGAAUAAGGAUGCAGCAGUCCCAGUACAGGACGCAUCAGGCUGCUGCAGCAGGACUGGGACCAAUCAGGGAUGAACUUUGACCCAAACCUGUGCAAAACAAACUGCAGCGCUGGCUGUAUCUGUCUUUGAAACACGCCCAUCUCUCUGCAUGCAGCAGCUGCAUGCAGACACCUCAUGCACUAACGUAGAUCCAUCACAUGAUGCAUGACAGCUGAUUACAAGAGGACAGAAAAAUGACUGUUUGUGGUCAGUUAGCAUCUUUUGUGCAAGCCUCUGUGUCCCACAGUGAGGAGCGACCUUCAGUCUGGAGGGACUCGCCCUUUCUCGAGUUUCUCCUGACUCAGAAGGUUUUGGCCUCCAGGUGUUUGACGAGGCUGGGGUCAGACUGAACACAAAGGUAAGGUCACUGCGCAGCUGGAAGCAAACAUUCAGAGUUUAACAGAUGCUCGGCGAGGAUUCUGCACAAGCUUCUCUCAGCAAACUGAGAACAGAGAGGCCUCCCCUGCUCCAGGAACACAGUGCAGCAGCAGCACCAAGCCACACAAAGCUCCAGUGUCCAAUCAGAGCGCUGCAGACGUGCACGCCCCACACCGACAAGAGCAGAAAAUAAAAACGGUGAAAUCUGCCAGACUUUCGUCCGCAGGCUGCUUCUCUACUUAACUGUGAUUCAACAAAGAAGCAACGGGAACUCCGUCCAGCUGCAGGCUCACAGACGGGCACAGACAGCAUGUAGCAGCAGAUUACAUAACACUGCGUUCAGACAGCGUCAGCCUCAGGACGCGUAGAACAGACACGAACGGAGGAGACAGAAGCUGCUCUGGAUGUACGAACCAGAGCGCUCUCUCGCUCCAGCGAGGACGGACCGAGUCCUCGGCAAAAGUCUCGAUUUGAAUAAUCAGCUGCCUCAGUUAAAAUUCUGCUGGGAUGGAAACACAGGAGUGUGUAAAGAGCCUCAAGAGGCAGAGCUGCUCCCAGCACAGGUACGACAAAGGUGUACCUGAGGUGGUGCAAAGGGAGGCCAUGGUUCUGGUUCCACACCGAGCCCAGUCUACACGAAGCAGCCGUUUACUGUCGGUGGGUUCAAGUCUCCACCUUUCCUGCUUCUCCCAUUCAUGGCGUCACGCCCUUCCCUGUUCCCGCCCACUUUUAACCAAUCAGCAUUCGACUGACACACAGCAUUGUCCACACUGAGCCACGUGCUGGUAGAGACAGCUCUCUAACCACAUCCAUACAAUAGCUGGUUAAUUAAAACCUGAUGAGUUCAAAUGAAACCACAGCUGUUUUUUGUUUCCUGAGCUCUUCCAUCAAAUCUUCCACGCCGAGUGUCAGAAAGGUUUAAGGAGCCAAUCAGCUUUGGCUGCUCCGUGCAGCCGACCCGUCCAUGCAGGAUAGAACAGCGUGAUCACGGCACACAGCACCAAGGUCAGUGUUAGCAUGCAGUGAAACUGUCAGCCAGGAAACCAACCUCUGCUCCUCCUCCAUGUCCUCCUGGGUCAUCAGCACUGCCAUCUUACUCUGUUUCAUUCCCGGGGUGAAGCUCAGCACAUCAGCAGCUGCAGCCACAUCUGGAACAGCAGAGGGAGCGCAGACAUGUUAGCAUCUGGCUGAUGUCAGCUCUAACUCAUCAGCUCAUACUGACAAUACAAGAUUUUUC